rnacentral:rRNA from 1 species
AACCUCCGCAAUGUGAGAAAUCGCGACGGGGGGAUCCCAAGUGCCAUUCUUAACGGGAUGGCUUUUCAUUAGUGUAAAGAGCUUUUGGAAUAAGAGCUGGGCAAGACCGGUGCCAGCCGCCGCGGUAACACCGGCAGCUCUAGUGGUAACAAUUUUUAUUGGGCCUAAAGCGUCCGUAGCCGGUUUAAUAAGUCUCUGGUGAAAUCCUGUAGCUUAACUGUGGGAAUUGCUGGAGAUACUAUUAGACUUGAGACCGGGAGAGGUUAGAGGUACUCCCAGGGUAGAGGUGAAAUUCUGUAAUCCUGGAAGGACCGCCUGUUGCGAAGGCGUCUAGCUGGAACGGUUCUGACGGUGAGGGACGAAAGUUAGGGGCGCGAACCGGAUUAGAUACCCGGGUAGUCCUAACUGUAAACGAUGCGGACUUGGUGUUGGGGUGGCUUUGAGCUGCUCCAGUGCCGAAGGGAAGCUGUUAAGUCCGCCGCCUGGGAAGUACGGUCGCAAGACUGAAACUUAAGGAAUU